rnacentral:rRNA from 1 species
GACGAACGCUGGCGGCGUGCCUAAUACAUGCAAGUUGAGCGCUGAAGGUUGGUACUUGUACCAACUGGAUGAGCAGCGAACGGGUGAGUAACGCGUGGGGAAUCUGCCUUUGAGCGGGGGACAACAUUUGGAAACGAAUGCUAAUACCGCAUAAAAACUUUAAACACAAGUUUUAAGUUUGAAAGAUGCAAUUGCAUCACUCAAAGAUGAUCCCGCGUUGUAUUAGCUAGUUGGUGAGGUAAAGGCUCACCAAGGCGAUGAUACAUAGCCGACCUGAGAGGGUGAUCGGCCACAUUGGGACUGAGACACGGCCCAAACUCCUACGGGAGGCAGCAGUAGGGAAUCUUCGGCAAUGUACGAAAGUCUGACCGAGCAACGCCGCGUGAGUGAAGAAGGUUUUCGGAUCGUAAAACUCUGUUGGUAGAGAAGAACGUUGGUGAGAGUGGAAAGCUCAUCAAGUGACGGUAACUACCCAGAAAGGGACGGCUAACUACGUG